UACGAGGGGGGCAAGCGUUGUUCGGAAUUAUUGGGCGUAAAGAGCUCGUAGGCGGUUUGUCGCGUCUGCCGUGAAAGUCCGGGGCUCAACUCCGGAUCUGCGGUGGGUACGGGCAGACUAGAGUGAUGUAGGGGAGUUCGGAAUUCCCGGUGUAGCGGUGAAAUGCGCAGAUAUCGGGAGGAACACCAGUGGCGAAGGCGGAACUCUGGGCCGGAACUGACGCUGAGGAGCGAAAGCGUGGGGAGCGAACAGG
rnacentral:rRNA from 1 species